UUAGUUGAAUAAAGUUCAACAUCUGCGUCAAAGUUUUGGUUAUCGACUGAAAAGCGCUCAGUUAGAGGUUUAUAUUCAUGCUCUUAUUUUGAAGUCUGUUUAUGCAGCAGUUCUGUUUCCUCUUUACCUUUUUUCAACAGCAUUUGUUAAUUAAACUAAUAAAUUAAAAAAUGGUUUGCUUUGAGAGGCUCCUCAUGGUGAGUAUCAACGUGAUACACGUUAGCACUUUAGCAUUAGCAUGUCUACUGUUUAUGAUUAGCGCUUUUGGUUAGCGUAGCUAGCGUUUUAGGCUCAGGUUCCCAUUCCGAGUAGUUUGUUUUUGUUCGGAUAGGAUGUAUUAUUAGCUCAAAUUAUUUAUUUGGUAUCUUUUUUAUAAUAAUGUUUUUUAAUGGAGCCAAGAGCUUCUCUGCUAAUCAUAAAAACAUUCUUGGGUGGAGCAGACAGUGGUCCUCUCUGCUGCCCCCUCUGGUGAGGAGGAGCCAUCCCUCCCCGUACAUCAGUUUUCAUUUUAGUGAGUUAAUCAUCGGGAGCUGAUCGUGUCUGACUUCAGGUUUCAGGAAGCUGCAGGGUUCAGAUGAUGGGAGAUUUUCCAUUAUUCUAAAAUCCAUUCAGACCUCAUCAUGUCCUUCAGAUCCGUUCCUGCUGGUGUCCGAUCUGUGGCAGAACCAGAGGUCAAAGGUCGGCCUCUGAUCGGCUGCAUGGUGCGAUAAGUCAGCAGCUGCUGCUAACCUGUCGCCAGGUUUCAUGUGCAGGUCCUGGACUGGCCUGCAUGGGGUUUGAUGGGGAGAGAUGAAGGACAGGAAGCGACUAUAAACGAUGAUGAUGAUGAUGAUGAUGAUGGUGUGAUAGUGGGAGUAGCUCCAGGCGGUGGAAGCUCUCCCAGCAGCCUGUGGUUCACCCUGAUGCUGCCAGGAGGCGGUGAAUCCUUUGGAUGAUUGAUUAUGGAUUAUUGAUCAGAUAAUCAGAGGACGAUCUGCAGGACUUGGAAAUAUAAGCUGGGACGUCUCGGAAGGUAAAAAGCCGGUUCCAGAAACCUGGACCUGGACCUGGACCUUCACCUUCACCUUCACCUUCUGGAAACGUAGUAAAGUAACCAAUGGGUGAGAAGAGGAGUCUCAAACAGCUGAGUCAUGCAGACAUCAGAAGUGACAGCUCUCUGCUGGCCUGAGUGGAUCAGGAGGAUGAAGAAAGUAUGAAAAAUGGGAGGAAGAAUCGUGACAUCAGCUGCUCAGAGUUUCUGCACCAGUAGAGAUAGAAACAGGUGCUAUAGCGACACCUUGUGGCCAAGAUCCUAAACUACAUCCAAACAGAUAAAGGUCAUAUUUUGAGUUGUUGGAUAAUUGGUUCCUGUUUAACGCCUGGUUUUGUAAACAAUGUGUAAAUACAUAAUUUAAUAUGUUUUUUAAAUCUAUG